UCCAUUCACAGACCUUAAGGCUUUUCCAUAGCCUGGUCCCAGCCCCUUUUCAGCCCCAUUUUCAGUCACACUGCAUUGCCCACUGUUCUUUGAAUCAACAAUGUCUUUUUAUGCCUCCAUGGCUUUGAAUACCUCCAUGCAUCCAACUGAGUAUAGCGAUUAAAGGUGUGGGUGCUAGAGCCAGGCUGCCUCAGUUUGACUUCUAGCCCAGCUGUGACUAGGGAAAGGAGCCCAGGCAUGGACAUAAAUUCUCUGUGGCCCAGGAGUCCUGUCUGUAAUGAGCUUGAUAAUAAAGGUACCUAUCAAUAAAGUUUUAGAAUCUGGAACAUUGCUAGUACUCAAUAAACACUGGCCAGCAUUCUUUCUUACAAAUGUGUGGACAUUGCAUUGGCUUGUCUAUGCCCCUUGAAGGCAGGAACUUUGCCACGUUUCAUUUCUGGAUUCCUGAUGUGUGACUGAGAGUAGGUGCUUAGUUAAUACUGAGUUAGUAAAACAGCCAGCAGUGGUAUCUUAGCAGUGGUGUAAUUGGGGGAGGGGAAGGAAAUCCUCUGAUACUAUAUUAGGUCUUGGGGGGAAGCACAAGAAGGUAGUUAGGGCUAUUUCUAAACAGGCUGGUCCCUAGUGGCUGCUCAGCUUUCAUCAGAUAGGCAACCUGCUUAUCUGCAACAAUGGUUCUCAACUCUGACUACAUAUUAGAAUCACUUGGGAAGCUUUUUAAAAAGGUGAUGCCUGUCACCUUUGCCUACUUAGAGGGUUCUGAUUUAAUUGGUCUGGGUGGAGGUUAGUCAUCGUAGUUUUAAAAAGCUCCCCAGGUGAUUCUAAAGUGCAGCCAAAUUGUGAAGCACGGGCCUGAGAGCAGCUUCGGGCAGCUCUGCUCUUUUAGAUCAUUUGGUUGGCAGUGGCUGGGGAGUCAGACACAGACCUGGCUCCUGGCUUCAGAUCCCUGUGACUACCAAAGAUGCUCACAGCAGGGUUAGCUGUGCUUGGAGGCAGGUGGAUUCUUUACCGCUGAGCCACUGGGGACGCACUCAUUACACAGCUCUGGGCAAAACACAGUGGCUCAGUGGGGAAAGCACUGGUAAACGCAUUCAGGACCAGCGGCAGUGACAGGGCAUGACUCAUUCUGAGCAUGAUGCUCUGAGGUCACUGGAAGCAUCAGCAGUGUCCAAAGACUACCUCUGCUUUGUGGGUGCUUGCUGUGCUUUUCAAAAUGUCUACAAUCAUUCCUGCUGUUCUACUGCUUGACUUUGGAUGGUAACUGGAAAACAUUCCACCACAUUGUUUUGCUAAAAUAUAUUACAUUUUUUGAGAUGUAAAUAUAAAAUUUUAUACCAUCUUAAAAUAGACAAAUUCUGUAUUGAGAGAUACAUACAUUCUAUGAAGUUUGUAUAUUAAAAAACAAAAAGUGUUUUGGAGAGUUAUUUGUCAGGCUGUACUUGCAUAUAUAAAACACUUAAGACAGUGCUUGGCACAAAGAAAAUAUUAGCUUAUUAUUUUACCUUUAAUGACAUAAUGUUCUCGGGGCGGGGGGC
rnacentral:lncRNA from 1 species